AUUGAACGCUGGCGGCAGGCCUAACACAUGCAAGUCGAACGAGUGGGGGGCGGGUGAAAAAUGUGGGGGAAACUGCCAGAUGGCGGGGAUAACUACUGGAAACGGUAGCUAAUACCGCAUACCCUCGGAUGUGCCCAGAUGGGAUUGCCUAGUAGGUGGGGUAACGGCUCACCUAGGCGACGAUCCCUAGCUGGUCUGAGAGGAUGACCGGCCACACUGGAACUGAGACACGGCCCAGACUCCUACGGGAGGCAGCAGUGGGGAAUAUUGCACAAUGGGCGCAAGCCUGAUGCAGCCAUGCCGCGUGUAUGAAGAAGGCCUUCGGGUUGUAAAGUACUUUCAGCGAGGAGGCGUUACUCGCAGAAGAAGCACCGGCUAACUCCGUGCCAGCAGCCGCGGUAAUAC
rnacentral:rRNA from 1 species